GAUGAGAAACCACAAUUAUUUUUUUUGCCUUACCUCACGAUCCAAACGGAGUAUUAGAAAAUCAAAAUUGAAACAACUUAUACCUGGUCAAUCCUAUUUUCUCCAUACAAAUCUAAGUAAAUUCCAUAAACGCAGAAAUUAAGGCAUUUUUGGUUUGUGGUUUCAUUUUCUUUAUUUUUGUCUUUCAUGCUUUUCUAAAAACAAAGUAAUAUAAAGUUUGAAAAUACCCUUCAUUUUCAUUGCAGGAAACAAAAACACAACUAAACAUGAAUUUUGGAAUCUUAGUUUUAACAGCCCUUAAACUAUUACCAUAUAGUGUCUACUUUUCACUAGUCAAUUAUCUUUAAUUACAUGAUUACAUAAGAAGAUAGAUAAUUAAUUCAUUCAUUCAUUCAUUACUGUUCAAACCUGUAUGGCAUAUGCUAAGUGGGUGCUAUAAUGCUACCUUGUGAAUUAAUUAAUUAAUUUUAAGUUUUUCAUGUUUUCAAAAGCAAAAAAAUAAAAUAAAAUAAAAUUUCAAAAACACCCAACGUUUUUUAAAUUAUUUUUAUUUUUGUUCAAAAAAAGAAAAAUUAAAUUUCAAACACAGCUUUUUGGUGUGCCUUAAAAAGUUGGCUGUUUUUACGGAAAAAAAAAUUCAAAAACAAUUAGCCAAACAAAUACAAAAACCACUACAGGAAAAUAGAGAUAUAACCAUAUUUUUUUGGUGGCGUUUUGGACAAAUGCCGUCAAAUCUGUUAACAAAUCUUUUAAAUUAACGAUUAUGCUAUACUAGCUUAUUAGCAAAUGGUGGGAUAACUGGGUAUGAAACGGUGGGUAACAUUUGUACCAGUAAAAUGACACAGUUUUGUGUAUGUAAACAAGGGAUUUUUUCCCCCUUUUAUAAAGCUAAUUGUACCUAGGGAAUCCAAAUCUAUCUAGAGAUGUUUUUCUAUUUCUGUUGAUUGAACAGAGACGCGACUUGAGAGAGAGAGAGAGGGCUGGUUCUUUGAUUUCCAUUGAUUUUUGGUGAUUUUGAUCUAGAAAAUCUUGUUCUUCCUCUUGACUUUAGCGUAUCUUCAAGAUUGUUCGAAUCCCUCUAAUCUAAAUUGAUCUAGGGCUCAAGGGUUUUGAGUGCAGGGUCAAUGUCUCCGGACAAUCAACAGCUAAUAUAAUCGAGAUGGGCCGUGUGUAGAAGUUAACGGUCUAGAGAUGUAGAUCUUAUUCUCAAAUCUGCUAUCUCUCCGAUCAGAUCUGUAAAUAUCAGUAGAAGAAGAUGAAAAGGACUCAUUUGAGUUUGUUGAAAAGAUUGUUUACUCCUUUGAGAAAAAAAAGGUUGCUGGUUUUGUAAUACACAGGUUUGCCCAUCCCUGUUACCUUAUUACCGAUUGUCUUUUUUUGAUAGGUGAUUAGAAUACUAAACAUGUAAAAUUAAAGGGUCCUAUGAGCUGAGUAUGACCUUAAUAGAAAAAUACUAGCAAUUAAUAGGACCGGUUGUGGAAAAAGAAAACUAUUCUACAUCAUCACAUAGGUGGAGUUAGUAGAAUGACAUUAUUGUUCUUAUAAAAUAUAUAAAGCUGCUGAGAAGAUAGUGGUUAGAGUUUUGAUUGACGAAUGAUCUUAUUUUUUUAUAUGUUAACUAUUGUAUAUUGUCUUUGUCUUCGAUUAUUAUAGUUUUUGACUUUUUUUUUUCUUUUUUCUUUUUUUUUUCUCACAUUUAUCUUAGAAUUUGGGUAACAUUACAGGAAGCAAAAUGAAGCUCAAAGUAAGAUAUUGUUAUUAUUAUACAUUCUAAUGGAGUUUCACAAGCAAACAUGCGCAUUGGCGCAUUCAAUUUUUUAAACUACACAUGGUUGUGAAAGCUUUUGCAUUCAACUGUUAUUGGGAAUUGGUAUAACCAAAGGCAGGAGGUAAAUGAGAUGUGGGCAGGUUUGGGCUAUUACAGACGAGUACGAUAUCUACUAUAGGCUGUGGCAAGGGCAAAUGCAUGUUGUUGGUCUAAACAAAGGGAUGAGUUUUUGGUGUAUACAUCAAGGUACUAAAUGUUUUUGGUGAGGCUUGGGAAGAAGAGUGUGAAGGAAGUAUAUACUGCUAUAUUACAUCAUAUAGCUAUUAGGACUGAUAGGUUGUUUUCCCUAAUUAACAAAUAAGGACAAUAUCAAAUCAAGUAAACAACUGAAAGAGGAACUAGAUAAAAUAGCACUAUUAGCCUCAAGAUGUGUCCAUGCUUUUUUUCUUCUGCUUCAAUAGCUCUAUCAAUAAUACCACCUGGCUUAAAGUGUCAUUGCUUUGGUUUGCUUACCUCUGGACGAUGUGCAACUGCUGCACACUCUUGCUGGGAUAUACAAUUUAUACAAGCAAUCAUUUGAUUUUUUUUUUUUUUUUUUCAUUUUCAGGGAAGCUGUGAGUCGCAGUAUUGUAAAUGUAAAUAAUUGAUUAGAAAAAAUAUUCUCUUAUUUGUGCUUCAUAUAUAUAUUUUUCUUUGGUUUAUG